rnacentral:tRNA from 1 species
GCCGAAGUGGCGGAAUUGGCAUACGCGCAUGGCUCAGGACCAUGUGGGCGAAAGCCUGUCCGGGUUCAAGUCCCGGCUUCGGCA